UACGUAGGGAGCUAGCGUUGUCCGGAAUCAUUGGGCGUAAAGCGCGUGUAGGCGGCCCGAUAAGUCCGCUGUGAAAGUCCAGGGCUCAACCCUGGGACGCCGGUGGAUACUGUCGGGCUAGAGUCCGGAAGAGGCGAGUGGAAUUCCCGGUGUAGCGGUGAAAUGCGCAGAUAUCGGGAGGAACACCAAUGGCGAAGGCAGCUCGCUGGGACGGUACUGACGCUGAGACGCGAAAGCGUGGGGAGCAAACAGG
rnacentral:rRNA from 1 species